CCCCCGGUCUCAGUGUUUAAAGCCACUAAGGGCUGCUAAUAGCCACUGUAUGUACAAGGCAAGCUUCGCUACAUAGGAUGGAAAAGAAACUAGUAAUAGAUGGUAACCUCCUCAACUUGAUGAAGAAUAUCUACAAGGAACCUACAGCUAACACCAUGCUUUAUUUAUGACCCACAGAAUAUACAUCACCAAGUGAACUCUGUUGGACUCUGUGUGAUCAUGAUGUGUAACUGCAGGUAACAGAGGUAAAAUUCUUGUGGGUUAUGUUGAUAAUGGAGAAGACUGUGCAUAUGUAGGAGCUAGGAGUAUAUGGGAAAUCUCUGUACUUUCCUCUUAAUUUGCUGUGAAUGUAAAAUUUCUCUAAAAAAUAAAGUCUAAAAAAUGACAAUAAUAUCUACCUUCAAAAAUUGUUAAGAAAAUUAGUGAGUUAACAAGUGCAAAGCAACCAGAAUAAUGCCUGGCAGAUUUUGCCAGUUGGUAGAAGCCAGUGAUGCUGCUACACAUCAAAUAAUUAUUUGGUCCGAAAUGUAAAUAGUGUUGAGGUUUAAAAAAUCUGCUUUAAUGCUUCUGAGGUACCUUGAUAUGGAUGGUCUGACCUAGGGAAUGAGGUUAGCUAAAGAAAAGAGAAGGACUUGGACUUAUGGUUCUUCAACAUAUUGAAGUAAAGAUUCCUAAGAAAGAUAUAAUGACUGAGGAGUAGCCAGUGAGUGAGGUAUAAGAACAGAAUAUGAUUGUAUAAAAGACAGAACAGUGUUUCAAGAAGGUAGGAGAAAAGUGACCAAUAACAAUAUUAUUAUUUAUGGGGUCAAUAUUUUCCAAAGAUUAUACCCUAAUUCAUUUACUAUGCACAAUAACUGUUCAAUGGUAUUGUUCCCAUAUUAUACAUGGCGGAACUCUUGUCUUGGAUCUACAAUGGGGUCAAUAUUUUCCAAAGAUUAUACCCUAAUUCAUUUACUAUGCACAAUAACUGUUCAAUGGUAUUGUUCCCAUAUUAUACAUGGCGGAACUCUUGUCUUGGAUCUACAAUGUCAAAUGCUGCUGCAAGUCUGAGCCAUAACUGUUGCACCUGAUAAAGUAGAGGCUGUUGCCCAUUGUGUCAACCGAGGUUUCAGAGGAAUGGAAUGCGAGGUUAGACACCCAGUUAAUGUGGUUUAAGGAAAAAUAAAAUGAGCA